UCUGCCUGUCACAGCCUUCCCAGCCAGGAGAAGCCGUGCCGGUUCUGGCCCCAGAGUCCUAUCAGCCGAGCCCGUGGCAAAUUAAUCACUUGCAUUUUAAAUGCCAAUACAGCCCUUUCUGCCUUCUUCCCCCAGUGAUGCGGAUGCGGCGAAGGCAGCAAAUCCUCCGGCUGUGUGCGCCCUCUCUGGACUGCCGCUCCAUCCCUGCCUGUCUUACUCGUGUGUGUGCGUGGCUGGGAGCGCUCCCUAGGUGCAGCCAGGAAUGAGACAGCUGUGGGGCAGGGGACAGCCCAGCCUGGAGGGGUGACACAAGGUGGGGGAUACCCCACACAUCUGCAGGGCUGUGAGUUGCUUUGAGACAGGGGUCUUUUGUGCCUCCACCUUGUCCCUGUCAUGCCAUGCAUGGAAGUUGGGAGUGAUCGCCCCUCCAGAAGCAGAAGGCGAAGUCUUUCGCAAUGAAUCCAUGGCAGCUUCGAUCGAGUGGUGAGCUGGAGCACCUAUGUACAGGCCGCUCCUUGAUGUGACUGAAAACAGGCCUUUUCCAGCACUCUGAAAGGAGAGUGGGGCCGUGAAUUUACCUCCCACACAUCUGGGCACCCAGAGUACGUGCACUGCGAGAUUCCAGUGACAGAUGGCUCUCUCUUGUGCACACGUGCUCUUUCCCUCUCUGUAUUUUUGUUUUCAACAUGUUUGAUCUGAAGUUCUGAAGCUUCUCA